rnacentral:rRNA from 1 species
AUUUAUUUUAUUAUUAUUAAUUGUUGUAAAUAAAAUAUUAUUUGGUUUAAUUAUUAAUAUAGAAAAAAUUAGAUUUUAUUAUAGUUUAAAGUAUUGUGAAAAAAAUAUGAAAUAUUUUAAAAAUUUAAAUAUUAAAAAGAAUAAUUUAUUAUUAGUACCUUGUGUAUCAGGGUUUAUUAAAAAUAAAUUAUUUAAAAUAACUUUCUCGAUUUUAAAAGAGUUAAAUAUUUAUUUUUUUUAAUGUAAAAUAAUUAUUAAUAAUAAAUAUUUAGUAAUGAAAUGUUAUUCGUUUUUAAAUAUAUCUAGUUUUUUAAGAAAUAAAUUAAAUUUAUUUAUUAAUAUAAAUUAAAUUUAUUUAUAAAUUUAUUUUUUAUUAAUAAAAAAAAUUUUAAGGGAUAAGCUUUAAGAUUUAUAUAUAUAAUAUUUUAUUUUUAUUAAUUAAAUAUAGGAUUAAAAAUUUCUUUUAUUAAUAAUUUGUUAUAAUUAAUUUUAAAAUAAUAUUUUUUAUAUUUCAUUUAUGUUUUUUAUUAAAAUUAUUUAUUUAAUAUUUAAAUAAAUGUAAUUAUGAUAAAAUUAGUAUAAUUUAUUGUAAUAUUUAAUUUAAUUUUAUAAUGUUAAGUUAAGGAAUUCGGCAAAAAAACUUUUCGCCUGUUUAAUAAAAACAUGUCUUUUUGAAUAUAAUUUAAAGUCUAACCUGCCCAAUGAAAAUUAAAUGGCCGCGGUAUUUUGACCGUGCAAAGGUAGCAUAAUCAUUAGUUUUUUAAUUGAAAGCUGGAAUGAAUGGUUGAACGAGAAAGUUACUGUCUCAAUUUAAUUUAAUUAGAAUUUUAUUUUUAAGUUAAAAAGCUUAAAUUUGUUUAAAAGACGAGAAGACCCUAUAGAGUUUUAUAUUUAAUAAAAUGAAAAAUUUUUAUAAAAAAGUUAAUUUUAUUAAGUAUUUUAUUGGGGUGAUAAAUAAAUUUAAUAAACUUUAUUUAAUUUAAAACAUUAAUUUAUGAUUAAUUGAUCCAUUUUUUAUGAUUAUAAGAUUAAAUUACCUUAGGGAUAACAGCGUAAUCUUUUUAGAGAGUUCAAAUCGAAAAAAAGGAUUGCGACCUCGAUGUUGGAUUAAAAUAAAUUUUUGGUGUAGAAGCUAAAAUAUUGAGUCUGUUCGACUUUUAAAAUUUUACAUGAUCUGAGUUUAAACCGGUGUGAGCCAGGUUGGUUUCUAUCUUUAAAAAAUAAAAUAUUUUAGUACGAAAGGACCAAAUAUUUAUAAAAUUUAUUAUAAUUUGAAUAUUAUU